GCCAGCUUAGCUCAGCGGUAGAGCAACUGUUUUGUAAACAGUAGGUCGGGGGUUCGAAUCCCUUAGCUGGCUCCA
rnacentral:tRNA from 2 species